GGUAGCUACAAAACAUUUAUUUUUUUAAAUAAAAACAUUUAAAUCAACAGGUUUUGUAAAACAGCAUGUCAAGUGUUUAUCUUAAUCUUUGUAGUGUAAGCACCUUCAGUUUUAUGCUAAAACAGUCAACAUAAAUUAUUAUUUGGUCAGGCUAUUAACCUACAUUGAAAUAAAUAUACUUUCAACCAAGACAGAUCACUUACUGUAUACCAGAUUCCCAUACCUUUAUAGAAAGUUUCUCUGGUGACAAGUGAAAUACAGACUGUGAAAACAUGAUUGAAAUAUGGUCUUUUUUUUUUCUCUUUUUAAUUUCAGUGAAGACUGGCCUAUAAUUUUAAACUAUAAAAACGAUUAUAAAGCACUAUAGACUAUAGCUUAAAAAAAACCCAAAAUGCCUGUAUCACACAAGAGAAAUAUUUGAGAUGGUUUACCUAAACUGUCUUAGAAUAAGAGGUGGAGUACAAACUCCUAAAUGAGUUACAACACACUGGGCUGCUCAUAUCAUGCCCCACUCUUAUGGGGGGUGGAAAUUACCCACUUAACAGCAACAGAAAUCUUUGUUUCAUUACAAGAGAUAAGCCACUGAUAAGUGAAAAAAAUACAGCUCACAAAGGGCUUUUUAUGCUGAUACUAUUGAUUACAAAACACAGGGUGCAAAAUUCAACAUUUAAAAUUAUAUGAACCUUAAAAGUACAGAACACAACAGAAGUUUACAAGUCAAAAUACUUCAGCACCUGAGAUUUUCCUGUAGAAAGCCAGAUACUUUCUUCAGGAACAUGCAAUACAAUCAACUCCUUUGCUCGCAGUAUUACACAGGAAUAAUUGAUCAAGAAAGAGUUGAAAUAUACAUAAUGUUCAAAAAUUCGAAUUAAGCCUUCAAGAUAAAUCUGCUAACAAACUAUACUUUUUGAUCCAUGUGCAUUACCUGACUUGACUUUAUGAAAACAUUUUGUAUUAAAACUGGAAUUGACUUCAUCUAUUUAAAGUGUUCUGAUGAAAUUAAAGUUAAAAGACAAAGAACAGUAUGCAACUUGAAUCAUGUUGACAAAAAAAACUAAGAACACUGAAAUAGAAACACGUUUGAACAAAAUGUAAUAACCUGCUAUGCAAGCACGUAUUUUUACAGACAAGUAGUGGUUACAUCUUUACUUUUGGUAAACUAAUACUUUACUGCUUUCAUCUUGAGAACUGGGAAGUUGCAUUUUCUAUGUUCUGCUCUGUGUGAUUAAGCCUUCAUGAUUUUGUAUGCAUAAUUAUCUGUUAUCCUCAAGGUAGCCACUGUAUUGCAUACCAGUCUUAGAACAGAGGCUUCUUUUUUUAAUCCCUUGGUUUUGAGGCUUUAAGCAAUUGUGUAUUCUAUUUAACAAUUGCACUCCCAGACCCCAGAGCAAAGAAGAAGAAAGCAUUUAAAACAAAGGUCUCAACAAAACAGUAUUCUGAUGGGAACACAGCACUUUUAUUCUAACAUGAUCUAAUUUUAUUUAUGAAAACUACUUAAAUGUCAAAUGAUAUGCAAAAUUAAAAGACUUCAAAUACUGGAAUAUGAGGGAUGUUCCUCUAAAUCUAGAAAUGCUUUUGUCAGGGAAAGUACACUUUACAUUUGGCUUUAUUUAAUCACUUAGUGAUAUUGUAAAAAAUUAAACUAUCAGUGUUAUCAAGGUUAACGUUCCUCCCUCCACAACUAACUACUUGGAAUUCUCUGGAACCUUUCCAUCUCUGAAAACCAGUCAAGCAUAUUUGUUUCUGUCCUUCAAUUCCUAAAGAAGAAUAACCAGGCACUCAGUAGUAACUUCAGGAAUAAAAGCUGCAGAGAUUAUAUUGAAAGAUUUAAUACUAAAUUAUCAUAGUUUUAAAAAUCUGAGUGCAGUAAAAUGCAACUCCGUCUGACUGAAAUCAAAACCAAUCAUCCUUAAACCCAUCAUCUUUCCUCAGUACAAGGUGCAGCAGUUUAAAAAACAAGAAGGGGGGCAAACCCCUCCACAAACAAAAAAUUCCAAACCAAGAAUAUUGUUUUCAGUGCAAACACUGUAGUCUUCAAAAGGUUAAGAGUACAAAUAUUUACGUUC
rnacentral:lncRNA from 1 species